AAACCAAACAUGAUUGGAUUGGAUCUGCUCUCUUGGGCUAUUCCCAUCACCAUGCUAUUCUUCUCAUCGCACAAAUCUGAUUUGUGCAUGAAAACUUCACGCCUAACACCUUUUGCCACCCCUCUCUUUGGAUUAGAUUGGAUAGGAUAGGAUUGGUUGAGUUCAAAUUCAAAAUAGUUUUGAAUUCAAACUCUAAUCUUCAUCCUAUCUUAUCUCCCCUUAACCACUUGAUCACCCACC
rnacentral:lncRNA from 1 species